rnacentral:misc_RNA from 1 species
UCCAAUGACCAAGUUGCUGGGUAAGUUUCACUAAAUGAAAUAAUGCUCAUCAAGAUUUAUUUUUCCUUUCUUUUGGGAUUUUUUUCCUUUUUAAUUUUGAAUGUGAUGGUGAUUCAAAUUUUAGAUUUCACAGCUUUAAAAAUAUGUCAAAUACUAUUAAGAUCAGUAAAGCUCAUUGCUUUCUUUAGAUCAUUCUAAAUUGUGGAUUAAUCACCUUUGUUUCAGGUACUUGCAAGGAUAUGACAAC